UCAAGCUAAGAAGGGCGCAAGGGGGAUGCCUUGGCAUUGGUAGCCGAUGAAGGACGUAGCGAUCUACGAUAAGCCACGGGAAGUCGAAAGCAGGCAAUGAUCCGUGGAUUUCCGAAUGGGGAAACCCGGCAGAGCAAUACUCUGUCAACUCCUUGUGAAUAAAAUAGCAUUGAGUAGGGAACCUCCUGAACUGAAACAUCUAAGUAGGGAGAGGAAAAGAAAUCAACCGAGAUUCCGCUAGUAGUGGCGAGCGAACGCGGAAGAGGCCAAACCAAGAGUAGUAAUACUUUUGGGGUUCGGACUGAGUACGGUAUUGACAAGAGUUAGUAGAAUGGAAUGGGAAGUUCAACCAUAGAGUGUGAGAGUCACGUAUACGAAAACUUGAGUCAGCCAUCAGUAUCCAGAGUACCGCCGGACACGUGAAACCCGGUGGGAAUACGGGGGGACCACCCUCCAAGCCUAAAUACUCACCAAUGACCGAUAGUGUAUAGUACUGUGAAGGAAAGGUGAAAAGAACCCCUGGCGGGGAGUGAAAAAGAACCUGAAACCUUGUGCCUACAAGCACAUAGAGCACGUCAAUGUGUGAUAUGGUACCUUUUGUAGAAUGGUCCGGCGAGUGAAUGUCACUAGCGAGGUUAAGAACUUAAGGUUUGCAGCCGAAGCGAAAGCGAGUCUUAAUAGGGCGAGUUUAGUUAGUGGUAUUCGACCCGAAACCGAGUGACCUAGCCAUGAGCAGGCUGAAGUGGAGGUAAAACUCCAUGGAGGGCCGAACCCACUCCCGUUGAAAUGGUAGGGGAUGACUUGUGGCUAGCGGAGAAAUUCCAAUCGAACUCGGAGAUAGCUGGUUCUCUCCGAAAUAGCUUUAGGGCUAGCCUCAAUUAACAUUACCGCAGGUAAAGCACUGAAUGGGCUAGGGGGCGAAAGCUUACUGAACCCUAUCAAACUCAGAAUGGCGGAUAAUGAAUAAUUGGGAGUCACACUACGUGAGAUAAGUUUCGUGGUGGAAAGGGAAACAGCCCAGACCCACAGCUAAGGUCCCAAAGUACAGUUAAGUGGAAAAGGAUGUGAAGUUGCGCAGACAACCAGGAUGUUGGCUCAGAAGCAGCCACUCAUUCAAAGAGUGCGUAAUAGCUCACUGGUCGAGUGAUUUUGCGCCGAAAAUUUAACGGGGCUAAACUGUACACCGAAGCUUGGGAAUAUACCUUAUGGUAUGUUGGUAGGAGAGCGUCGUAUGCGGGGUGAAGUCGUAGCGAAAGCGGCGGUGGACUGCAUAGGAGUGAGAAUGCCGGAAUGAGUAGCGAGAAUUAUGUGAGAAUCAUAAUGGCCGAAAGACUAAGGUUUUAGAAGGAAGGUUCGUCCGCUUCUAGUUAGCCGGGAGCUAAGGCGAGGCCGAAAGGCGUAGUCGAUGCACAUACGGUUGAGAUUCCGUAGCCACCUUAAAUUUAAACUAAGGGACACAUUGAAAGGGAAUAACCCAGGCGUUGGUUGACCUGGGCGUAAGGGAACGAAAAUAAGUAGUGAAGUAUUCUUGGACAGUGGCGAGAAAAGCUUAGUGUAUAUUAUUAGGGUGCCCGUACUGCAAACCGACACAGGUAGUCAGGAAGAGAAUUCUAAGGCCAACGGGAGAAGUGUUGUUAAGGAACUCGGCAAAUUGACCCCGUAACUUCGGAAUAAGGGGUGCUCACGAGAGUGAGCCGCAGUGAAUAGGUCCAGGCAACUGUUUAUCAAAAACACAGCUCUCUGCUAAAUCGUAAGAUGACGUAUAGGGGGUGACACCUGCCCGGUGCUGGAAGGUUAAGAGGAGGAGUGCAAGCCCCGAAUCGAAGCCCCAGUAAACGGCGGCCGUAACUAUAACGGUCCUAAGGUAGCGAAAUUCCUUGUCGGGUAAGUUCCG
rnacentral:rRNA from 1 species